CAGUGGUAUCUUUGACUAAAACCACUCGUGACAAUGACAUAAUAAUGUCCCGCUCCCCGACCAGCGUCCUCACCGCCGACCUCUGCAACGGCGAGGUCGCGUCGCUCCGUCGCCGCCGUUCCCUUCUGCCCCGCCGGCGCCGGGGGUGGACCCGGAUGCAUUCCCCCAAGGACAUCGUCGCCAAGAACACGCUCUGACGAGAUCGAGGUGAGUGGGAACUGGGAAGGCCCCCUCCCAUGGUGAACCCCAACUCCAUGGUGCUCCAGGCCCUCGCGGCGGCGAAUCGAGGAGGAGGCCGAGAAGAAUGAAGAGGAAGGCAGGGCCGCCGCGGCUUCACCACCAAUGCUUCUUCUUCUUCUUGGUCGUCGUCGUCGUCGUCUUGUAUGUAUACAGAUACAGCUAUACACAUAAUUUUAGGAUCAAAAGACGUACAGCUAUAUGUAUUUCUGGGGGCUAAUUUCAGUGCAGAGUGAAUUAAUGCGUUGUUGCUAAUUGGAUUGCUAGAAUAUGUGUAGCAGAGUGAAAGCUAGUGUGAAUUGAGACCAUUGAACAAAUGGUUUAGAGAUAAUAACUUAGCUGCUUUCUUUGAAUUGCCACAUGUUCAGUUCAAUCACCUAAUUUUAUCUGAAAAGAAAUGUUCGAUCACCCUUGUCUGGAUGAAUAGUUACUCUUGUCUUUACUUUCUAGUGAUAUUCUAUAUUGCUACGAAAGCACUGGUUGUCCUUCAUUAUGUUUGUAAGAUUGAAUUCGAUAACAUUUUUUGUCGUCUAUUGCUUCUUUAGACAAAGAGGGUAUGUAUGUCAGUCAGUCAAACAGGUUUUCCAUGGUUGUAAAUCCUCUCUUACAAAGUUAUAGCCACUAAUUCCUUCCCAGAAAUUGAAACUAUGAUCAUGGCAUAAGCAGUGUAGGGUGAUCUUAACAUAACCAGUAGCAUACUAUGCGCAUCAUGAAUGUCAGAAACAGGAACAUACCAGUAAUGCGAUAACAUGCUAGAGGCAUCAUGUAGAACAGGAACAAGAACAUAGCGCACACAGUAUAGCGCUAACAAUGGGAACAGGAGUAGCGCUAACAGCAGUAGAAGGAGAAGAUUAUACCCCGAGAAUGGCCCUCCGCUGGAUGGUGAGGCAGAAUUGCCUCCGUUGUUGUAGUCGUUCAUGGCACCUCCUCCUGGCGCACCAGCUCUGGAUCCAGCUCCUGUCGGCGGCGCAGCUCCUGUCGGCGGCGGCGCACCACCUCCGCCAAUAGCGGCGGCAGCAACUCCAGACAUGGCGAUGAGCAGUCGUGCAGGAGGCACUCCCCAAAAACCUGAUCACCCGCCUACCCGAUGCAGAUCUCAGGCGAAGGUGUGGUUUCGGAGGCACUACUUCUUCCAAUCUCUCGUGCGCGCAAGAGAUCAGAAGCGGGGAAGCGAGAGCAACUCAGGCGCGGAGAAGGAGAAACUAACACCGGGAAAGAAGCGAGGAACUCGGAUCGGACUCGCGGCCUCCUUAUCUAUCAGGAGAAAGAACGUGGACGCGCUGUUGCGGAGGGAAUCGUGGGAACGUGGGUUAGUGGCUGCAAAAGGAUAGCGACGUGACGUGACGCACGCACGCCGGCCAGCCUCGCCCACGGCCACGGCCACGGCCACGCCCGGCCCGGCGCGCGCGCGCGCGCGCGUGUGGCAUUCCGACCCCCACCUCAACUGGUCAACAGGGAGCCUCUAAUAACUCCCUAUUUAGGUUGAGAUAUUUCUCGCUUAAAUCCAGAGGUGGUAUUAUUAUCCUCAACAUUUAUUAUGGGCCUUUGAGAUUUAAUAUUAUAAGUUGGGCCUAGCCCAAUUAUUCUAACAAUCCCCACCAAAUUUCAAGGCUCAUAAGAAAUGUUCUCAAGGCUGUGCCUGUUUGAUAUACCAGGGUUUUGGUGGAGACUGUUAAGUUAAACUUCCACCUAGGAAAUGAGCUACAUCAGACCACAACUGAACAAUGGACUAUGCCUUGAAUUGUCAGUUUUGUGUGAUCAGGUUUCACUCAGACCCUUGACUGGUACUGGGCUGCCGUUCGCAUCCCCUCUGUUUGGAGCAUAUAAGUCAAACUCCAGGCCUUUCAUGAGUAUCUAGAGAUUGCCCAAACCUCAUAGACUGUGACUAGCAGUCGAACUCAUAUAGGUGUGUUCCUUCUGAGAUGUUCUGCAGGUCAACAUCUCUGCUUGGAAAAACCACUCGGAUCACAUUAAGACAUAAGCCAUCCUACCAUGCAGGAAAGAAGAGAAGCACAUCAUGAAAAUGAGCCCCUUUCAAGGGUCUUUUCUCUCAGUCACACAAUAAUUUGUUUCACCAUCCAAAUUCACGGGAUCUCCGAUCACAAUGGACAGGUUUCCACUAUUAUGCAACCUUAGGUGGGUAUCAAGCCCAUUUCCCUCGAUGCACUGUCUAUCACAUUACGUGGUAGCCCCUUGGUAAACUGAUCUGCCAGAUUUCUAGCCGUUUGGACAUAGUCCAAUGCUAUCACUCCGGAGUUUUUCUGCUUUCUGACAGAUUUCAGUCUUCUCUUGAUGUGUCUAGAUGACUUCAUGUUGUCCUUUGAACUGUUCACUUUAAUAAUCACUGUUUGAUUAUCGCAGUUCAUUAGGAUAGCUGGCACUGGUUUUUCAACCACCGGCAAAUCCAUCAGGAGUUCACGAAGCCACUCAGCCUCAACUGUCGCAGUAUCUAGUGCUGUAAGUUCUGCUUCCAUUGUUGACCUCGUUAAGAUGGUCUGCUUGCAAGACUUCCAGGAAACAGCGCCACCUCCAAGUGUGAACGCAUAUCCACUUGUGGCUUUUAUCUCAUCAGCAUCAGAUAUCCAGUUUGAGUCACUAUACCCUUCUAGUACUUUUGGAUACCCGGUAUAGUGAAUUCCAUAGCUCAUAGUGCCCUUUAGAUAGCGCAUUACUCUUUCCAGAGCCUGCCAAUGAUCAUCUCCCGGAUUUGAGACAAACCGGCUCAGCUUGCUUACAGCAAAUGAGAUGCCAGGCCUCGUUGCGCUAGCCAAGUACAUCAAUGAACCAAUGAUUUGAGAGUAUCUCAGUUGAUCCCUUCCUAUUCUUCGGUUUUUCCUUAAUAGCACGCUGGGAUCAUAAGGAGUAGGAGCUGGCUUACAGUCACUAUAUCCAAAGCGACUCAAAACCUUGUCCACAUAGUGGGAUUGCACAAGUGUAAUCCCAUCCUCAUCUCCUCUUUGUAGUUUGAUGUUAAGAAUAACAUCAGCCUCUCCCAAAUCCUUCAUUUCAAAACUCUUGGACAGAUAGUCUUUGACCUCCUCAAUCACAUUAAGGCUGGUCCCAAAGAUCAGUAUGUCAUCGACAUACAAGCAUAAGAUCACCCCUUCUCCCCCACCAUAGCGAUAGUAUACACAUUUGUCAGCUUCGUUCACAACAAAGCCUGCAGAUGUAAGCGUGGUGUCAAACUUCUCAUGCCAUUGCUUAGGUGCUUGCUUGAGGCCAUACAAGGAUUUCAAUAGUUUACACACCAUUCCCUCCUGACCUUCUAGUACAUACCCGUCUGGUUGAUCCAUAUAGAUCUCCUCCUCCAGCUCUCCGUUUAGGAAAGCUGUCUUAACGUCCAUCUGAUGGACGAGAAGACCAUGAGAGGCUGCCAGAGCAAGUAGUACUCGAAUCGUAGUCAAGCGAGCAACUGGUGAAUAUGUGUCGAAUAAAUCCUCGCCUUCCUUUUGGGUAUAACCCUUGGCCACAAGCCUUGCCUUAUACUUUUCGAUUGUACCAUCAGGCCUAAGCUUUUUCUUGAAAACCCAUUUGCAUCCUACGGGCUUACAUCCAUAUGGACGCUCAACGACUUCCCAAGUACCAUUAGACAUAAUCGAGUCCAUUUCACUGCGUACUGCUUCCUUCCAGUAGUCAGCGUCAGGAGAUGAAUAUGCCUCUUCUAUGGUUCUUGGGGUGUCAUCCACGAGGUAUACAAUGUAGUCAUCUCCAAAGGAUUUUGCAACCCUUUGUCUCUUACUCUUGCGAGUAUCUACAAUGUUGUCCUCCUCAGGAUUUUCCUCAGGCGUUUGAUCAUUGUGUUCUAUCGGUGCAAAGUGCUCAUGGGGCAUGACAGUUUCUUUACUAGAAGUGUUAGGUGUAUAUUUCAUAGGAAAUUCAUUCUCAAAGAAAGUAGCAUCUCUGGACUCAAAAAUUGUACCAGCAUGCAUGUCGGGUACUCCAGAGUUUACUAUUAAGAAUCUAUAACCCACACUGUGGAUAGCAUAACCAAGAAACACACAAUCAACAGUUUUUGGUCCAAGUUUCCGCUUUUUGACUAUAGGUACAUUUACCUUGGCCAAACAGCCCCAUGUUCGUAGGUAUGAGAGAUUUAAUUUCUUCCUUUCCCAUUCCUCGAAUGGUGUUACUUCCUUGUGCUUCAUUGGAAUUUUAUUCAGGACAUGACACGCAGUCAGAACUGCCUCACCCCACCAUUCCUUGGAAAGCCCCGCAGUGUCUAACAUGGCAUUCACCAUCUCAGUUAGAGUACGGUUCUUUCUUUCGGCCACCCCAUUUGAUUGGGGUGAAUAGGGAGGCGUCAUCUCAUGAAUAAUUCCAAACUCUUCGCAAAAGGAUGCAAACUCAUUGGAAAAAUACUCCCCACCUCUAUCAGACCUCAACCGUUUGAUUUUCCUUUCAAGUUGGUUUUCUACCUCAGCUUUAUAGAUUUUAAAGUAAUGCAAUGCCUCAUCCUUUGUUUUCAAUAGAUACACAUAGCAAAAUCUAGUGCAAUCAUCUAUCAGUGUCAUGAAAUAUUUCUUUCCCCCUUUAGUCAACACGCCGUUCAUUUCGCACAAAUCGGAAUGAACAAGUUCUAGAGGUGCCAAAUUCCUCGCCUCAGAUGCCUUGUGAGGCUUGCGAGGUUGUUUCGAUUGAACACAAGUAUGGCACUUGGAACCUUUGACCAAAGUGAAUUUUGGAAUUAAACUCAUGUUAGCUAAGCGCAUCAUACAACCGAAAUUCACAUGACAGAGUCGCGAAUGCCACACAUUAGACUCAUCAUUCUCGCUAAUAUGGUUCACAGCGUUAUGAUUAUUACACAUGUCAUUCAAAGAAAAGCGGAACAAGCCUCCGCUGUCAUAACCUUUUCCAACAAAAGUCCCAUAUUUAGAUACGACACAUUUAUUGGACUCAAACACAAGUCUAAAACCUUCUCUACACAAUAGAGAGCCGCUAACUAGAUUCUUCUUUAUUGAAGGGACAUGCUGCACGUUCUUCAGCUGCACGGUCUUUCCCGAAGUAAACUUCAGAUCGACCGUACCAACACCAUGAACAGCCGCAAGCGACCCGUUUCCCAUCAACAAGGAGGAACCUCUCCCGACCUGAUAAGAAGAAAACAGAGAAAUGUCAGCACAUACAUGAAUAUUAGCACCAGUAUCCACCCACCAAUCAGGUGAAUGAAAAACAGAGAGAACUGUAGGUAAUAUUUUACCGUACCCCGAUGUUCCUCCGCCCUCGCUAAUGAUCAUGUUGGCAGACUUCCUGUCUUUGCGCUCAGAACAGUCCUUGGCCCAAUGCCCAGACUUGCCACACACAAAGCAGUCUCCCUUUGCCUUUCUUCUUAAAAUUGGUUGCAGCCUUGGGUUUGACAUCAGGCUUGACUUUCUUGUUGUUGUGGGAUGCAUGAGGGUUCUUCUUCUGUACCAUAUUGGCACUAGAACCUCCCUCAACCUUUUUGCCCCGGACGUCCUUUGCCCUCGCCUUCUCCUCAACACCCAAAGAGCCAAUGAGAUCAGGAACACUGAACUCUUGUCUCUUGUGCUUUAGAGAAGUGGCAAAGUCCGACCAAGAAGGUGGUAGUUUGGCAAUAAUGCCACCCGCCACAAACUUGUCCGGCAACUCACAGUUGUUGUUCUCAAGUUUCUUAGCCAGCAUCUGAAUCUCAUGAGCUUGUUCUACUACAGAACGGUCAUCGACCAUCUUGUAGUCAUAGAACUGCUCCAUGACAUACAGCUCACUGCCGGCGUCAGAAACUCCGAACUUGGCCUCAAGUGCAUCCCACAUGUCCUUCCCAGAAGGCAUGUGCAUGUACACGUCCACUAUGUUGUCAGCGAGUACACUGAUCAAUGCUCCACGGAACAGGCAAUCCGAAGCCUCGAACUUAGCCUCUUCCUCAGGAGAAAGAGGUGGUUUACUUCGUUUACCCCGUGAAACAUAGAAGCACUGCAUCGCUGUCAACCACAAUAGUGCACGUGCUUUCCAUCUCUUAUAGUUUGAACCAUCAAAAGCAUGUGGUUUCAGUGCAGCAGCAAAGCCAACUACCGAAAAUGACCUAUCAGGUUUUUGGAUUGUUGGAAAUAUAGUCAUUAUUCGGCAUAUUUUAAUCCAAGAAAUUGAAACUAUGAUCAUGGCAUAAGCAGUGUAGGGUGAUCUUAACAUAACCAGUAGCAUACUAUGCGCAUCAUGAAUGUCAGAAAUAGGAACAUACCAGUAAUGCGAUAACAUGCUAGAGGCAUCAUGUAGAACAGGAACAAGAACAUAGCGCACACAGUAUAGCGCUAACAAUGGGAACAGGAGUAGCGCUAACAGCAGUAGAAGGAGAAGAUUAUACCCCGAGAAUGGCCCUCCGCUGGAUGGUGAGGCAGAAUUGCCUCCGUUGUUGUAGUCGUUCACGGCACCUCCUCCUGGCGCACCAGCUCCGGAUCCAGCUCCUGUCGGCGGCGCAGCUCCUGUCGGUGGCGGCGCAUCACCUCCGCCAAUAGCGGCGGCAGCAACUCCAGACAUGGCGAUGAGCAGUCGUGCAGGAGGCACUCCCCAAAAACCUGAUCACCCGCCUACCCGAUGCAGAUCUCAGGCGAAGGUGUGGUUUCGGAGGCACUGCUUCUUCCAAUCUCUCGUGCGCGCAAGAGAUCAGAAGCGGGGAAGCGAGAGCAACUCAGGCGCGGAGAAGGAGAAACUAACACCGGGAAAGAAGCGAGGAACUCGGAUUGGACUCGUGGCCUCCUUAUCUAUCAGGAGAAAGAACGUGGACGCGCUGUUGCGGAGGGAAUCGUGGGAACGUGGGUUAGUGGCUGCAAAAGGAUAGCGACGUGACGUGACGUGACGCACGCACGCACGCACGCCGGCCGGCCUCGCCCUCGCCCCGGCCCGGCGCGCGCGCGCGCGCGUGUGGCAUUCCGACCCCCACCUUAACUGGUCAACAGGGAGCCUCUAAUAACUCCCUAUUUAGGUUGAGAUAUUUCUCGCUUAAAUCCAGAGGUGGUAUUAUUAUCCUCAACAUUUAUUAUGGGCCUUUGAGAUUUAAUAUUAUAAGUUGGGCCUAGCCCAAUUAUUCUAACAUGUCAGUCAGUCAAACAGGUUUUCCAUGGUUGUAAAUCCUCUCUUACAAAGUUAUAGCCACUAAUUCCUAAAGCUUAACAUGCAAAGAUGCCACAUCAUCACCCACUAACAAUUAUUACAUUUAAGCAUAAUGCAGGCAUGCUAUAUUAUUUAUAAUUUAAUAAUUCAUUAAAUUUUAGAGAUUUAAAAUGUAAGCAUGUUAAAUUAUUCCAUAUAAUUCACAUAAUAUUUCAAUAUAUCUCUCCAUCAUUUUUUAUAAUAUCCUAUAUACCAAUAUAGUUCAAUCUCACUUAGUUCAUGCUAUUUUUCUUUUCUCUCAUUAAGUCAUAUCACAUCAAUUGUUUUUAGUCCUUAGAUGAUUAAUCUAUGGUUCAAAUUAUCUCUUUUUUUUUCUUCUCUCAUUAAGCCAUAUCAUCUCAAUUUUUUUAGCCCUUAGAUGUAUGGUAUAAAUUAUCUUCAUUCUUUUCUUCUUUCAUAAAGCCACAUCAUCUUAGUUUUACAUUUGAAUCAUCAUUCUACAUACUAUUUAAAUUUAAAUCACAUCAAAUUAUGUAAACUUAUACUCCAUUUAUGUAAGCUUAUGUUGUUUAAGAUAUCUUACACAUUAUUUUUACUUAUUAUUAUCAUAGUAAACUCCCGCAGCAAAGCGUAAGGUUUCAUCUAGUUGUGUAAAUGUUCAGGUGUUACGAUGUCCCAGCAAUGACUUCUUAAGCCUAUAGUGCCAUGGAGCAACUAUCGUGUGUAAAUCCUACAAUUAUGAGGUAAUUUAUUUCCCAUGAAUUUAGUUUAGUUUUUUUAAUGAAAAGAAUGGUUUAGUUUUGAGCAUAUGAAAAAGAUAGGGCCUUCACCUCAGUAAUCUGCAUUGCUAAGAAACAAAGCAGUGUAGUGGAUUUAAAAGUAUGGUAUGAGAAGACAACGAAAAUGAACGGUGCUUGUCGGAAUGAGUCACAAAUUGAGUACUGUACAAUAGUCACUGAAUCGUUCAUUUUACCUUUUGACUGUUGUAGCAUAACAUAAGUCAUCUAAUUCUUUACCUUGACUUUUGUGCAAACAUAGUCAAUUUUGGACAUAUUUGCCAAUUUAAAAUAGAGUUCAUGCAAGUAUUUAUUCAGUGCUGUUAUGAAUGGGCUUUGUUGGUACUGCAAUAUAUGAUUUUGAAUUUACUAAAACUUUGAUACUACUUAUGAGAAUGAAUUGGGAAAGUAAUCCUUAAUACCUAGUUGCUUAUGAAUCCCAUAGCUCAUCCAAUAUAACUCGACUGCAAUUUUUGGAUAGAAAACUAGAAGUCUGAUAAUCAAUUAGUGUCUGGUAGACCUCCUGCAUUGUUGGUCUUGCUUGCGGAGAAGCUUUCAAGCAAGAAAACACCACCUUAAUGAGGGAAACUAUGUUUUCUUCUUCUGUCGUUGUUGGUGCUAAAGGUCGUGAAUCCAGGAUUUCCUUGAUUGUUAUAUUGUGAUCCCUUGAUGAAGUCAGAUGCUGCAAUAAAUCUCUUGGGUGCUUCCCAAUCACUACCUCUAGCAUAACCAUGCCGAAACUAUACACAUCACAUUUCUCUGUCACCAAAGAUGUAUAGGACAGCUCUACACAAGGAGAGAACACAUAUUAGUAAUCAAUGAUUAGAUAUCAAAGCUUUUUGUAUAAGAAAGUAUAUACCAGGAGCUAUGUAGCCAUAUGUACCAGCUAGCGCACUCCAAUUAGAUGAAUCAGGUCUCAAAAUCCUCGCUGUACCAAAAUCUGAGACAUAAGCCUUCAAAGUUGUAUCAAGUAAGAUGUUGUUGCUGGUUAUAUCUCGAUGAAUUAUUGGUGGAUUGCAGUCGUGGUGCAGAUAACAUAGUGCUUGAGCUACAUCCUUUAUAAGAAUAUUCCUCUUUUGCCAAUCUAAUGCCUUAGCUAACUCAUCAUCAGCUAAGGUCAUAUGGAGGCUUCCCUGCUCUAUGUAUUCAUAGACAAGAAACCUGUACUCUGGAUGGGAGCAGAAUCCAUACAGUUUGACAAUGCUUCGUUGUCGGAUUUGUGUUAAGAUUUCCAUUUCACAUGAAAAUCUUUUUUCAUCACCCAACCCUUCUUCAGUUGUGUGAAGCUUCUUCACAGCAACUACCUGCCCGUCCUGGAGUUGUGCUCGAUAGACCUUGCCAUAACCUCCCGCUCCAAUGAUGUACUUGUCAUCGAAAUCUUCUGUUGCCCUGACAAUAUCCUCAAAUGCUAAUCUUCCAUCAAAAUUCCAAACAGAGAACAUGUCCCUUCCUUUGGCUGUAGUACUUUCUUGUGGUUUUCUCUUGUUAUGAAUAAACACCGUUCCGAGAACAACUGUAGCAAGAAUGGCAAAACCCAGAACAAGAACAACCGGCAACAGAAAACGAAAUAGCUUUCUUUUGUUGUGACCAGGUGCUGAGUAACAAGACGGCAGGCCAGAGAGAUUACCGCAUAGACCUUUAUUGUUGAGAAACCAGCUUGCUGAAGCAUUUUGAAAUAGUCGCCCUGCUGGUAGUGGUCCUUCUAAGUUAUUGUAUGACGCAUCAAGUGUUGAUAGGCUCACCAUGCUUGCAAAGGAAGUCGGAAUUCUUCCAGUGAACUGGUUGUGAGAUAAAUUUAGAAAUACCAGCAUCUGCAUCCUUCCAAAGUCUUGCGGCAACAAACCAUCAAGUUUGUUAUUGCUAACAUCUAGCAUGAUUUGUAUGCUUGCUAAAUUUCCAAUUGUGGCAGGCAAAUUCCCACUGAAGUGGUUGUUGUUGAUCCUCAGUAACUGUAGUUUGGUGCAUCUCCCAAGUUCCUCAGGUAUUGGUCCACUCAAACUAUUUCUGGAAACAUCAAGGUAUUCUAAAUCUCUCAGGUUUCCCAACUGCGAAGGUAUGGAUCCUGAUAACUUAUUGAACGACAAAUUCAGACUAUAUAGAUUUAUUAAAUUCCCUAUUUCUGGUGGAAUCACACCAUUUACAUGAUUAGAACUGAGUUUUAGUUCAACUAGGUUGGGCAAUUUAGACAGAGCUGGAGGUAUUGUGCCUGUGAUCAUAUUUUCUGCUAUAUUUAGAAUAGCUAAUUCUGGACAAGCACCCCACUUUGGUGAAAUCUGCCCAGAGAGCCUAUUGGACAUCAAGCUCAUCUUUUUGAGUUUUGGAUACACACCAAAAUGUUUGGAUAUAUCUCCCGUUAACUGGUUGCCAUCAAGGAAAAGUCGAACCAACGAUGUGCACGUCUUCAAGCUCCUCGGAACAGGGCCAUUGAACAUAUUUAAAGACAGAAAUAAAAGUUUGAGGCUUGUGCCAGCACAUAUAUUUGCUGGCAACUGCCCUGAAAGGGAGUUACUUGCUAGGUCUAGCUCAACCAUGUUUGUGAUAUUUCCAAAUUCCUGAGGAAGAGAAUUCGACAAUUGGUUACUACGAAAAUUCAGAUUUUGCAUGUUUUGAAAGUUCCCUAAAGAUUUCGGUAUUGAGCCGGAAAUUUGAUUCUCUUCCAAAGACAAAAGUUGAAGGUUCACUAGGUUGCCGAACUCCUGGGGGAUAGAGCCAUUUAUCUGAUUUUUACUGAGGUCCAGUGCAAUUAGCUUGGUAAGGUUCGCUAAGGUGCCAGGUAUAGAGCCAGAGAUUUGAUUGCUGUGCAGGAUUAAGUUCUGGAGAUUUGAUAUGAUCCCUAGUCCUGGGGGUAUUGAACCAGUAAUUUGGUUUUCAUGGAGGAAAAGAUUGUUCAGCAUAGUGAGGUUGCCUAGUUCUGUGGGUAAGGAACCUUUUAAUUUAUUUUCAUUGAGAACAAGAUCGGUGAGCAUGGCGAGAUUGCCUAUUUCAGGGGGAAUGGAACCAAUUAUUUGGUUUCUAAAGAGAUAGAGUUUGAUCAUCUUAGUGAGAUUGCCUAUACAUGUGGGGAUUUCACCAGUAAGUUUGUUAUCACCAAGAGCAAGAUAUUGCAAGUUGGUCAGCUUGCAGAGUUUUGGUGGUACAGGCCCUGACAGUUCAUUACCAUCUAGAUAGAAAGUAUCUAGGUUGGUCAGAUUUGCUAGAGUUGUUGGUAUCUCGCCGCUCAACGUGUUGUUGCUCAGCUGCAAAAGCUGCAGGUUGGCAAGCAUUCCUAUCUCCUUUGGGAUGGGACCAGAGACCAUAUUUCGGUGAAUGGAGAGCUCGGUGAUCAUCGUCAGGUUACCCACGGAUGCAGGGAUGUGGCCUGUGAGGUUGUUGUACGAAAGAUCAAGCAUGGUGAGCCUCUGAAGCUCACUGAUCUCAUCCGGCAUUCUUCCUGUGAGCUGGUUGAGUUGAAGGUCAAGGUAGGUGAGUGCUGAUAGAGAGCUGAUACUUGAGGGUAUUGGGCCAUAGACACUGUUGCUGCUGAGAUCAAUAUAUGUGAGGAAGGGAAGAGAUGAGAAGUUGAGCUCACCAAGCUGGCCAUGGAUGCCGGCAUCUGGCAAGGAGAUGUUGGUGAUGACCCAGGACAUAGCUUGAUGUGCAGCUCUGCAUGUGAUUCCGGUCCAGUUGCAGGGGCUUGUGCUGGCCUGCCAAGAGCUCCUCAUCUGCGGCCCUGUGCUCUGGAGAGUAGAUUUCCAGUGGAGGAGGGCCAUCUGCUGAGACCUCAGUGAGAUUCCACCAUGACGAUGCACCGCAUGCGCCAUCGGUAGAAGAAAACACGGCAGGAGCAGUAGAUACAGGCAGAGGAAGGGUGUUGAGGAGGAAUGCAGUUUGUAGCACAAUAUUUCCAUUUGGUGCCAACUGCGAAAUUUUCAAGAAUUUGUUUUGGACUAUUGGAGGGAGAGUUGGUUGGGGCAACUAUUUUCAUGGACAGUGCAAGCUCCUGAAUCCUACCUAAUAUAUAGUAUUCCAGGGUUGUCUGUCAGCACAGGGAAGUUGGAUUGGAUUAACUUUCUGCCUCUCUUUUUGAUUUUUUCUUCAGCGUCGCCAUCCUUACCAUCGUUUUUCUACACUAGGAUGGUGCAGGAUCCACGGCUGUUGCUGUAAGUCUUCCUUUUCCAUUUAGUGUUUGACAUCUCCGAGUCGAUAAAGCUUAAGAUACCUGUUUAAUCAUGCAUUCCUAUUUCACAGCAAGUUCUUUUGUUGGAGUGUUCGCAAAAAAGUUCUUUUGUUGGGAUGGCCGAAUUUAUUAAGAAUGAGAGAAACAUAUUGCACUAGGAAAGACAAACAAAAAAGAGAACUGCUGCCUCAAAGUUACUUAAGUCAUACUACACGAUGGGUCAGUUUUGAAGCAGCUGGAAAGUACCCCGUUUGAUUUAUAUUAUUGAGCGGAUUAUUGCAAGGAUUAUCUACUCAAUUAUAGGAAUAAAUUCAAUAUUCUGAUAUUAAGCUUAAUAACAGUUCUAAAAAAGUGGUUUAAGAAAUGCUCUAGAGGAAAGUUUUUUGAGAAAACAUAUUUUUUUAAAGUGUCGAGCAAUUAUUCCGUUUUAAUGAUCUAAUGAAUAAUCCAAAAAGAACCUGGCAGAUCAUCCAGCAGAAUGCCCUGAGAAUCCUUGCGUUGCCAUCCUUACAGAUGAUUCAAAAGUUCAGAACUGUAUGAGUUUGCUUAAGUCAUCAUUGUUGACAUUGGGUGUGCAAUUUUUUUUCUCCAUAUGAUUUGCUCACUUAUGAGUUAUGACUUAUGAGCUUACACACACACAUUGAUAUCACGAUACUGGCAUAUACCUUAAAAAGAUAUCAGUGUAAAAUAGUAUUUGGACACAGAAUUAGGCUAAUUUCGUUUUAAUAAACUCUUACACGGACCCUUCUGGAUUCACUCAAGGCAUGGUGUCCAUGUUACUGACUAGCAUAAACAAAGAAGUCUCUAUGCCUAGCACAGACUAAGUCUUCAUCUGCAUGGUGUUUAUGUGGUUGAAGGUAUUCACGAGUCAAUCCCCUGUAUGUUUCAAUCUAAAUGUUCACCAUAACAACUAUUCUCAUGUGAUUUUCCAAUAUAUUCCAUUCAGAUUGCAUUCUUUUUUCAGCUGAGCAGUUUCAUUGGUUUAUGAAAUACAGUAUCUUGCUAUGCUGAUGUAGCCUGACUGCCCAUAUUUUUGUCAUAUGCCCAUUUGCACUGUAAUCCGUUUCUUUCUGUUUUUUUUUCAGGUGAUUCCAAGAGGCAACUUCGAAAAUACCCAAGCAAGUUGAGUACAUGUGUCCUGUAGGAAUUACAAUAAGCCAUUUUUAUGCGUAACAAUAUGCCUGUUCAUUCUCAUUUCAUAAGCAUAACAAGAAUCAGAAGAGGGUUCAAAGGAAGGAAUUAUAACAGCCAUUAUAUAUGUUUCAUAUAUAUUUUCUUGUGUACUCAGCAGUGCCAGGUCGGAGAACAUGCUGCCUUCACCAACUUGCUGAACCUGAUAGACAUCAGAUGCAUGAACUGGAUGGGCGUGUUUAAUUUCAUGCUUCUAUUCGGUGGCGGA
rnacentral:lncRNA from 1 species